CUUUCUCUGGCUCCUGCUGUUCUCUUGCACUUGGUUGUCAGCAGGCUUCUCUGCAAUUUCCAUCUCUAGAGGAAGACACAGCACAUUGGCAGGUUGCCUUUUAAAAUGACAGAACUUCACGGCAUGUGUGCAUUUGCGCUGCCUGGAGUAACUACGCUGGCCAUGUCAUGUGAAUAAGGUCAGAUCAUACUAUUUAUUCUCUGUUGGCUUUAUGCCUUCUGACGCACGUUUGAAAACUGCAGGGGUUAUAAAAAACAGAUAAUCCUGACAUUUCAAUUUCAUUGUAUCAAAGCAAAUUGCCUUUUACUAAUAAGUAUGUUAGGGAAUGAAAGUUGGCAACAACCUAAAGAGAGACAGAGCGCAGUGUGAAGAAGGAUGAAUUUGACCGUCAAAGAAAGAAGCCGCCAACAACAUGAGCACAUUACUUCCAUUUUAAAAGUAAAGAAAAUGACAACCCUCCCCCCCCAACCUUCAAAAUUAUCAUAAUGUAAGCCUAAACAGAAACACAAAACCGUAAUUUCAGAAGCCAUGUUUGUGUUCACGCUUCAAUACAGGAUAUAUGUAAAAAAAAAAUCACAGAAAAAGCUUUCUUCUACUCUAUCUAUAACUACCAUGUGCUUUAAUAAGAACAACCUCUUUAAUGCCUUUAGAUACGGAUUCCAUCCGUUAGCACUGUGAGAAAUGGAACACACCAACAGCGUCAUAAAUGAUGACUUAAAACUCCAGAUUGACAAGAAAAGGAACUCUGAAAACAAUAAAUAUGAACCUCACAACUAAGGGCGGAAGAAAGAGCUCUCAAGUCCUGCAGCGAGGAGUGGUAACAUUUUCAAGACUGCUGUCGCUCUAAGUACCUUCUACGCAUCUUGCUUCGGCGAACUCAGGUUCGCUUGAGGCCAUCUUGCUCGCUUCCUCGGACCUUACUGCACAAGGCGGACUCUUUGCUCGGGACAAGAAGCAUCCAAACGUCAAACUGCUCAGACGCUGCCCUUCUGAGGGCUUUGGGCUGGAGACACAGGAUACUUUCUUCUCUUGGAGUUCUGUUAGGUCAUCAAGCAAAAUGGAGUUGAAUUUUUUUAUAGCGGUUUAUCAGAUGAACAAAAGCAUGAAAGGACUUAAAUAAACCACUCUUAAUACCAGGGAAAAAAA